rnacentral:lncRNA from 1 species
GAUUCGAUCCCUUUUGUGUGACGGCAUUGAGAAUGAUGAAACAGUUUUUACGCAUUAGAAUAUGAGCCUUUAAUAAUCACUUUUUGGCCAUUUUAUCAGAAUUGGUAAAAAUCCCUUGCGUAAAGGACAUUAAGUUGAAGAAAUUCACAAAUUCCUCAUUGUUGAGAUGAUAAGUAUGUCAAGGCUAAAUCUUGAUUUUAGAAAGUUCAUAGACUAAUGCAUCACAAAGAAUUUUUUGAAACUACCAAUGGGUUGACAAUUUAAUCAACUUUCAAAUAAACCAUCAAUUCCAUUCACCCCAUUUUUACAUCUAAGAUGAUUAAGUCAAUUUUUUGGAUAGACCAUCCAUUCUAUACAAUUUUGCUCAUUUUUAAUUUCAUUUUUUGAUAAAUCAUCAAUUUUAUUCAAUUCAUUUAAUCUGUUUAUUCAUUUUUAGGACAAUACAAUCAAUUUUGAAUAAAUCAUCAAUUCCAUCCAAUUCAUUAUUCAUUUAGUCAAUUUUAUUUUUUUUUGAAUAAAUUCUCAAUUUCAUCCAAUCCAUUGGAUCAGUUUUAUUCACUUUCGGGAUAAUCUAGUCAAUUUUUGAACUAAUUAUCAAUUUCAUUCGAUCCAUUUGGCCCGUUUAUUCUUUUUUUUUAAAGUUUUGAUCUAUGGUUCACUGAAGAAACUAGUCGGGACAUUUCAAUCCUUUCAAAAAUAAGUUUUUCACACUAAAUUGAUUUUUAACAUCGCUUCUUGUGCCAAUCAAAGCAAUCAAUCCAUUCGGACUUUGUCCUCAUUUUGUUAGUUAUCUAUCAUUGACGAAAAAAAAUCCAAUUAGUCCAAUUUCUUUCAAAUGCACUUCAAUUGGAUCUCAAUAAGUCGAUCGGAUCCAU